GACGAACGCUGGCGGCGUGCUUAACACAUGCAAGUCGAACGGAAGGGCCCUGCUUGCAGGGUACUCGAGUGGCGAACGGGUGAGUAACACGUGGGUGAUCUGCCCUGCACUUCGGGAUAAGCCUGGGAAACUGGGUCUAAUACCGGAUAUGACCUUCCAUGUAGUGUGGGGGGUGGAAAGAUUUAUCGGUGUGGGAUGAGCCCGCGGCCUAUCAGCUUGUUGGUGGGGUAAUGGCCUACCAAGGCGUCGACGGGUAGCCGGCCUGAGAGGGUGGACGGCCACAUUGGGACUGAGAUACGGCCCAGACUCCUACGGGAGGCAGCAGUGGGGAAUAUUGCACAAUGGGCGGAAGCCUUAUGCAGCGACGCCGCGUGGGGGAUGACGGCCUUCGGGUUGUAAACCUCUUUCGACAGGGACGAAGCUUCGGUGACGGUACCUUUAUAAGAAGCACCGGCUAACUACGUG
rnacentral:rRNA from 1 species